rnacentral:rRNA from 1 species
AUGGCGCAUGGUGAGGGGUUUGUUCCUUCGAAUGAACUAUCGAUUUGCCAGUUAGCUGAGCGGCAUCUGUAUGAGCCUAAUACUAAUGAAGAGGUCAACCCAGUGAUCAGACAACAGGUGCUCGCACAUGCGGAUUUGAUGCACCAUCCUCGUGGUUGGAAUGUGGGGUCUACUCUUAGUGACUAUUCGUUUCAUCCACUAGCACCUUAUCCUAAACCUGAUCAUGAAGCCUACACCCUAGGGACCAAGAUGGUAGCAAAAGGUCUAGGUUGGGAUGGUCACAUAGUUGAGUAUGUUCCGCAACCCAAAGGCUAUGUUGAGUGGGGCAUUUCUAUAUUGAAUAACCACUCAUUUUGUUUGAAAGGAGAAGCGGAGAACACCGAUUACAUUUAUGGGGCCAUUUAUUGCUCUCUUGGUGAAUAUGAAGUUUUAGAUUCGUUACUGAGGUCACUACUGGAAAGAUGGGAUCCAGAAACAAAUACUUUUCUUUUUUCAUCUGGUGAACGCACUGUGACUCUGCUUGACAUGCUUCUAAUGUCGGGUCUUCCUUCAGUUGGAGAACCAUACGAGGAAUAUGUUCCCUCUAUAGAUGACCUAGAACCUUCAAAGCUUAUGUUCCCAAAUUUCUUAUCUGGCCUUUUAGAAGAAUUCUAUCGGCUCAGCCGCGAAAAUGGAAGUGUGACUUUUCAAAUUUGGUGUGACCAUUUCCAUAACAAACGCGAAUGCACUUCAUCUUUCACCUCCCUUCGGGAACAACACAUGAUCAGUAUGCACUCCGUUGCUCCCUCUUAUGAGAAAAGAAUUUGGCCAAUGCAUUAUAUCGCGGGGUGGAUGGGUCUCUAUUUGAGAAAACCAUUUAAGGACAAAGUGAACGGGAAACAUCUUCCAGAUGUUAAGCAAUUGCCGAUGCAACAAACCAUGGUUAAAACUAUGUUUCAGGUUCCCAUAACUUUCAGUCCUGCUAAGGCACGCAUUUUCCUUGAUGACAGAGCCAAUAUUUUUUGGAAUCCUUAUACUCCAAAGAACUUAGUCGGGGUGGAUCAGUUGCAAAGGUCUUUCACCAUUUCUUCACACCGGGGUAUGCUUCCAUGGAGGCGUGCUACUGAUGUUGAUGAUCUUUGCAUAGCGGAGCCAUAUCAUCCUGAUCGAGUUGCACGACAACUUACUUUGAGACAACAAGUGCCCUAUGCUCCGUUGGUCAGCGUGUACACAAAGAAGGAUACUGGGGUUGCACAUGCGUAUUGGUCACAUUUGUUACGCUCGGGCCAAGGAGAGUUCCAGUACCUUCUUAAUGAUGCCCAUGAGGCAUUUUCUUCUGUGGCCUGGAACAACUGGUGGGUGGGAUAUAUGAAACCAUUUAACAACAUAUUCAAUACUCUUCGUCCGGGCAUCUCGAAUGGUCUGAAUUAUAAUCCCUGGAAACGUAAUUUUCUGAAACGCGGAGAGGAGUACAUAGUUCCUCGCAAGCUUUCGGAGAAUGAUUUUGUUGUUAUAAAGGAAGUCUCUGCCAGGGGUAAGGCGGAGCAUAUUGCAGCCAUCAAAUUGAAUAAGAAGCGAAAGGUUAAGGAUGCUGUCGCUACUCAACCCAUGAAAUCUAAAGAGCAAAGUGGCAUACCAAAGUCUGUUGUUGCAGUUGGUUCUUCCUCUGCUCGUCCAUUGCUAGUGGGUAGUGAUGAUCUUCCGGAAACUGCCCCGGCCACUGGCGGGCAGAAGCGUAGAAAUUUAUCGCCCACUCAUGAUGACGAGGAAGAGAGGCUCCCCCUUAAGCGCAAACUUGAUUUUUCGCAAGAAUAUGAUUUUUCUGAACCAAUAACUUUGGACGUCCCACCGAGCGUGCCAGAAUCUGAUGACGGGAAAAUGGCGGGCGUGAGACACGCGUCCACGUCAUUGAUACAAAGUUAA